rnacentral:rRNA from 1 species
UACGUAUGGAGCAAGCGUUAUCCGGAUUUACUGGGUGUAAAGGGAGCGUAGGUGGUGUGGCAAGUCAGAUGUGAAAGCCCGAGGCUCAACCACGGGACUGCAUUUGAAACUGCCAUACUAGAGUGCAGGAGAGGUAAGUGGAAUUCCUAGUGUAGCGGUGAAAUGCGUAGAUAUUAGGAGGAACACCAGUGGCGAAGGCGGCUUACUGGACUGUAACUGACACUGAGGCUCGAAAGCGUGGGGAGCAAAC